CACGAACGCUGGCGGCAGGCUUAACACAUGCAAGUCGAGCGCCCCGCAAGGGGAGCGGCAGACGGGUGAGUAACGCGUGGGAAUCUACCCAUCUCUACGGAAUAACGCAUGGAAACGUGUGCUAAUACCGUAUACGUCCUUCGGGAGAAAGAUUUAUCGGAGAUGGAUGAGCCCGCGUUGGAUUAGCUAGUUGGUGGGGUAAAGGCCUACCAAGGCGACGAUCCAUAGCUGGUCUGAGAGGAUGAUCAGCCACACUGGGACUGAGACACGGCCCAGACUCCUACGGGAGGCAGCAGUGGGGAAUAUUGGACAAUGGGCGCAAGCCUGAUCCAGCCAUGCCGCGUGAGGGAUGAAGGCCCUAGGGUUGUAAAGCUCUUUCACCGGUGAAGAUAAUGACGGUAACCGGAGAAGAAGCCCCGGCUAACUUCGUGCCAGCAGCCGCCGUAAGAC
rnacentral:rRNA from 1 species